rnacentral:rRNA from 1 species
AUUGAACGCUGGCGGCAGGCCUAACACAUGCAAGUCGAACGAGUGGCGGACGGGUGAGUAAUGUCUGGGAAACUGCCCGAUGGAGGGGGAUAACUACUGGAAACGGUAGCUAAUACCGCAUACCAUCGGAUGUGCCCAGAUGGGAGUAGCUGGUAGGUGGGGUGACGGCUCACCUAGGCGACGAUCCCUAGCGGGUCUGAGAGGAUGACCAGCCACACUGGAACUGAGGCACGGUCCCUCCUCCUAGGGGAGGCAGAAGUGGGGAAUAUUGCCCAAUGGGCGCAAGCCUGAUGCAGCCAUGCCGCGUGUAUGAAGAAGGCCUUCGGGUUGUAAAGUACUUUCAGCGAGGAGGCGUUACUCGCAGAAGAAGCCCCGGCUAACUCCGUGCCAGCAGCCGCGGUAAUUC